rnacentral:lncRNA from 1 species
UGGGGGGCUUUGUUUGUGUUUACCAGCUUGUGAUGAUGCUCAUUUCUGACUAGAAACCCACUCUGUUUGGAUAGUGGGGCUUCUACUGAGUAAACCUGGCUGCAGGCAGUGGAGUGUACAGAUACAGCUCUCCAAAGUCUGCGAAGGGCCAACUGUGGAGGCCUCUCUGGGACAGUUCUGGGAUACUGCAGUUGCUUACACAGCUUCCCCAGCUUAUUGCAGGAACUCCUGGAGUGUCAGGAAGAAUACCUCCAUCUGUAAUAUGCUGAGUUAUAAAUCCCCAAAUAGGAUGUUAUAGAGAUGAAUGAAGCAAUGUUUCCAAGAUGCUUGGAGGUCUGGGAUGAAAAUCUGCUGAAACAGAGCAAAAAGCUAAGUCGUGAUCAGCCUUGCAUACAGCGGAAUGUAGAUCCUCGUCAUCGGAUUUGGACCCAGUGUAGACAGCACCUGAGCAUCAGUCAACUCCACCUUCUAAAGCCUGUGUUUAGUGCACAUCUCUGCCUCCCUCUUGUCUGCU